rnacentral:rRNA from 1 species
UACAGAGGUCCCAAGCGUUGUUCGGAUUCACUGGGCGUAAAGGGUGCGCAGGUGGCUGGGUAAGUUUGAUGUGAAAGCCCCGGGCUUAACCCGGGAACGGCAUUGAAUACUAUCUGGCUGGAGGGUUGGAGGGGGGACUGGAAUUCUCGGUGUAGCAGUGAAAUGCGUAGAUAUCGAGAGGAACACCAGUGGCGAAGGCGGCAUCCUGGACCGGUAUUGACGCUGAGGCGCGAAAGCUAGGGGAGCAAACGGG